GAUGAACGCUGGCGGUAUGCAUAACACAUGCAAGUCGAACGGUCUGGAAACAGACAGUGGCGGACGGGUGAGUAACGCGUGAGAAUCUAACUUGUGGUUCGGGAUAACCACUGGAAACGGUGGCUAAGACCGGAUGUGCCGGGAGGUGAAAGGGAGACCGCCACAAGAGGAGCUCGCGUCCGAUUAGCUAGAUGGUGGGGUAAAGGCCUACCAUGGCGACGAUCGGUAGCUGGUCUGAGAGGACGACCAGCCACAGGAGCACUGAGACACGGGCUCC
rnacentral:rRNA from 1 species